AAUUUUGGACAAUGGGGGCAACCCUGAUCCAGCCAUCCCGCGUGUGCGAUGAAGGCCUUCGGGUUGUAAAGCACUUUUGUCAGGGAAGAAAAGCCGCGGGUUAAUACCCUGCGGUGCUGACGGUACCCGCAGAAUAAUCCCCGGCCUACCACCUGCUACCAGCCGCGGUAAUACGUAGGGUGCAAGCGUUAAUCGGAAUUCCUGGGCGUAAAGCGUGCGCAGGCGGUUCGGCAAGAAGGAUGUGAAAUCCCGGGGCUUAACCUCGGAACUGCAUUCUUAACUGCCGGGCUAGAGUAUGUCAGAGGGGGGUAGAAUUCCGCGUGUAGCAGUGAAAUGCGUAGAGAUGCGGAGGAAUACCGAUGGCGAAGGCAGCCCCCUGGGAUAAUACUGACGCUCAUGCACGAAAGCGUGGGGAGCAAAC
rnacentral:rRNA from 1 species